rnacentral:misc_RNA from 1 species
GGGAUCGCAUUAUUUUGGAUGAGGUAAGAUGGCAUGAAGGAACUUGCUGGUGUCUUUAUUCUUCUCCUUUGAAUAUGAAGUUGCCACUGUUUGAUGUGUUGUGAACUUAAACAAAAAAAUAAUAGUAAUAAAUGAUCUUGUAUCAUGUUAAGAUCUUCUGCACUGCCUCCCCUUGUAUUUUUCUAUAUCAACAUACAUGAUGGUAACUCUGUUUAUUUGGAGUUAAUAUAUUAGCAAAUGUAGAGAACAGAAUUGGUAACAUUAUGCCUCUUUAAGAGUUUCCUGGUUGUUUAUACAAUUGAAGUGAAUUCUAGAAUGUUAUCUCAAACUUUGCUAUGGUUUCCCAUGAGAUAUUAAUGCUAAUUUUCUCUGAAACAAUAUUAAAACGAAAAUAUGCUAAAUUUAUUAUUAGGAUUGGUUUAUGUUUUAUAGUUUCAUCACUCAUCUUUGUGCUUUACAGGCAAUAGUUGAAGUUGGGAUUGGAAGAACCUCUGACGAUGCUGAUAAUGUGAUAAUUCAUGUUUUUCUUAACCAAAUCCAAUAGCUAAUUUUGCACUUUAUUUUAUGCCAAGAAGUGGGUUGGUUAGAUAAUUCUGUCAUAAAAUUCCAACUGUUGUUAGUCCAUCUGAAAUCAGUGACUUGGAUUAAGCAAAUAUCACAUUUAUUUUAUCUCUAACACAGGAAUCAAAAUCAGUAAAUCUGUUAAUGAUGUGUUAUGUUUAUUUACAUUUAUUUUCUGUUAGUUUAUAAUGCAUUUGAUUUGAUACGAAUGCUGGAAUAUUAUGUCUCAAGGGAUAUUUAGUAUUAUAAAUAUUAAGAGGUAUCUCUUGUCUAACUUCAUUUAAUUGUACAUUUUAAUCUUUCACAAAAGUUCCCCCGCAUUAUAGGAAUAUUAUAGGAUAAUAUGUAUAAUUCUUCAUACUUUCUUUGCUUUCUAAAUUGUUCUUACUCAAAAGUUCCCCCACAUUAUAGGAAUAUUAUAGGAUAAUAUGUAUAAUUCUUCAUACUUUCUUUGCUUUCUAAAUUGUUCUUACUCAAAAGUUCCCCCACAUUAUAGGAAUAUUAUAGGAUAAUAUGUAUAAUUCUUCAUACUUUCUUUGCUUUCUAAAUUGUUCUUACUCAAAAGUUCCCCCA